CAUACUCUCUCUCUUCCUCAGACCUCACUCUCUCUCUCUCACCCUCUCGAACACACAGGCAACCACCCAAAACCACCUAAAACUUAUACCAACGUCGGAUUUAAAGCUACCAUGGCAUUCCUGAGGACUCCACGAUCACGUAGACACCAAUUUCAGGUAAGUUUUACUUCGGAAAACCUAGAUUCUAAACUCCCCGUGAAAGUGCACUGUUCAUGAUCUUCGAAUUGACUUUGUUUUAGGACAAUCCAAGCUCAUAGCAAGCUUGGUGAGGUCCCAAGGAAGCUCGGAGUGCUUCGUUGGAAGUUUUUGGACGUAAGAACACGGAGAUCGACAAGUUCAAAGUUUAGCCGGAGCUUUCGAGGCGUUUUCCGGCGAAUCCCCGGCGAGUUAGGAGUCGAGGUAGGUAUCAAUCUCUUCGUCUCGUCAAGUACUACAACUUUCCUUUUUGUUUCACUCAAUUUCGUUGAGUAUUGAAGAAGUUAUACUCAUUUGAAAAAUACCCAGUUUCCGGCGACCUCCGAGGCUUUCGAGGCAGUUUCCGGCCAAACCACGGCGAACUAGGUGUUGUGCAAGGUAUCAUUCUCUUUGUCUCUUCAAGGGCUACAACUUUUGUUUUUGAAUCACUUGAUUUCGUUGAGAAAUGACAAAGUUAUGGCAAUUUGAAAAACUGCCCAGAAAACGGCCGCCGGAAAAAACCAGUCCGGCGACCCAAGGAAGAAGAAGGUGCUACAGUAAAAAUAAAAAAAAAUAAAAUAAAAUUAUUUUAAAAAUAUGUCGACGUCCGUGACGUCGAGUAGAUCACUGUGGUAUAUUCAUAUACCUAAAUUGAACACCGUAUGAGAAAGUUAUUGAAGAUUGUUGGUUAGGUGUUCAAAUAACGUUUUAUAGUUUUCACAUUUAGGUGAAAAUGUGAAUUGAUGAUCCGACCGUUGGAUCGUCACCAAACUUUGAUACGUUGUAAUACGUAAUAUUUGAGGAUUAUUGGAACUUACGGAUUGGGAAUCAGAGUUACUGAUCUUCCGGAAUUGGAAUUGUAAGUCCAUAAAUAUAAAAUGUUAACCGUCACUUAGUUUUGGAAAUUGACGGAGAUCCGACCGUUGGAUGGUAAUGAAAUUUUAGGAUGUUUGUCCUAGAGGUAUAUUGUGGACCUCUGGAAGUUAUGGAUUUAAAAUCUGAGUGGCAGAUCUUCCGGAUCGAUCAACGUAGUGACGUAUUUUAUAUAAGUUAUGUAUUCUAUCGAUAUGAAUUCUGAGGUUGGAAUUGAUUAUUGUUUUAGGCGCCGAUCGUCAUGACGCCUUGGCGUAUUGUGCUAGGGAGUUGUAGGGCGAACUCCAGGUGAGUGGGCAGUUUUGUUUUCCGUAUAUAUAUAUACUUGACGUUUCCCAGAAAUUGAAUUGAAAUGAAAAUAUGUUUAAAAUGAAAUGCAUAUGAGUUAUGUGGAAAAACGGGAAGUGAAAUACCAUGCAUAGAAUUGAUAUGAAAAGUAUAUAGAAAUGUGAGUUGAAAUGCCAUGCAUGAAUUAAUUUAUGAUGCAUAUGUAUGAAUUGGUGCGGUGGACGCACAUGUAAGAAUUGAUUUAUGAUGCAUAUGUAUGAAUUGGUGCGGUGGACGCACAUGUAAGAAUUGAUUUAUGAUGCAUAUGUAUGAAAUGGUGCGGUGGACGCACAGGUGAGUAUCAGGUGAUUAUUUAAAUACUGUUAUGAUGAUGUUGAUAUAUAUUGAGCUCAAAUCCUGCACCAUGGUUUAGUGCUUAUAGUAUUCACCGCAUCGCACGCUCGCCUUGGAUCCAAGUAGAUGCUAGUCGUACAGUCCACGCGGAGUGGGUACGACAGACCAGUCGCGAGAGAGUGUUAGUGAGAUUCCGACUGGUGGGUGACCUUAGAUUAUGUGCACAGAUGAUUUAUGAGAAGCACUAGAGCGUAACUUGUGUGCAGAAGGCCGGACGGGUCACAGAGGUGACUCCGGUAGAGUGAUAAUGAUAGAUUUUGAGCUCUAGGUUCAACCGUACAGGGCUAUUAGAGGGCCUACGGUUGAUUACUUUCUUGCACCUGAUAUGAUUAUGUUGAUGCAUUCAUACCUUAUUACUGUUGAGAUGAUGUGGCAUGGCAUAAUUAAUAUGAGAAAUGUUGAGAUGAUGUGGCAUGGCAUAACUGAUAUGAAAAAUGUUGAAAAAGUGAAAUGAAGUAUUGAGAAUAUAUAUGUAUAUUUAUAUUUUACAUUUCUGGGAAAGUAUACAGGUUUUACGGAGAGGGGUUACAACGUUAUGAGAAAUGUUUGGAUUUGGAAAAGAAUUGUUUUACUGACCCACUCAAUUUUGGUUUUGCGCCCCUCCAGGUUCAGGAAUCACAAAGGUGUGGUGACUACGAGGAAUACGGCGGGGUUCUGACAGAUUGGACAAAAUUAGGACUCACCUUCGGGUGUAUCAACUUAUAAAUUGUAUAAUUAAAGCUUCCGUACUGUGCAAAUGGUUACGUCACUCUCACGUGACGGCCAGCAUGCCCUCCUUCGGGACGGGGUGUGUCAGUUGGUAUCAGAGCAUGGUUGCAAUCUUGGACAUCUUGAGAAGUUUCUAGUGAAUUCUGUCAGAACUACACCGCCUCGUAGCAAACCACGUAGUUAGAGGAACUUAGUCUCCCUGAUUUAGCGGUUUGGGGGAAACUAUUAUUAUGGUGAUUCAGUAUAUUAUCAAAAUGGACAUUUUAAGACGGGUUAUGAGUUGAAUUUGAAUCACCUUAUGAAAUGAUGAACCUGAGGGAGCGGAGUGACGGUUUAACCAAUUGGAAAAGAUGUUUCAGAUUAUGCAAGUCAAAGGAAAUUUCCUUCUGACAGGUGGGUCGAGACGACUACCUGGUUUUGGGUAUGAAAUUGUAUCCUGGUGGAAACAGGAAUGUUAAUUGUUGUCACCAGAGGAAUCAGCCGAUUUAAAAUUUUUUAAGGAAAAGUUUAUCCCUCCGGCAUUUAUCGAUGGUAGUAAGCAAGAGUUUGCAAAUGUGAAUCAAGGAAGUUGACGAUAAAGUUAAUGAUUCGUCAUAUCAAGGAUAUAGAAAGAUUCAGAGCUUCGAAAGAAGUGAAGCUAGAGUUAAUUCUUCCAGCUGAGGUUUUAAUGUCGCUGGUCAGAGUAAAAGUGAUGGAUAUACUGGUAAUCCCAGAUAUUUGAGACAAGGUGUCUCGAGUAAAGGAAAUGUACUUUGUGCAGCAGGUACAAAAUUAACACUUUGGGAAAUGUGAAAUUAAUGAAUGUGUUUAUGUGAACAGAAGGGACACAGAGUUGUGAAUCGUCCCUAGAAUCAGUUGUACUCAACAAUUUUCCAUGAAAUCAUAGUGUCGAUUCAGCAGAGUUAUGGAUUUAGUAGUUUGGUCGGAUUGACCGUGGGUACAGAGAGAUUUGAUGAGUUAUAUGUUCAGUCGUACAGACCAUGAGAAGUGGAUUCGAUUGACACAUGAGAAAUUGGUGAGUUAUAGGCUCGGCCGUACCGACCACGCGGAGUGGAUCCGGCCGACGUAUUAUUGAGAUAAGAGUUGAAUCAGCCGUAUUGGUCAUUCUAGUUGACUUCGGCUGAUAUAUUUCUUAUUAUGUAUGUUAUUACCUAGAGAGUAGUAAAUAAAUGUAGUUGAGACGAGUGUAUGUAUUUUGCAUUGAGUGACAAAAUAGUAAUGUUAUAUCUUUGAGAGUGGUUGCCUACUUAUCGAGACAACGAUGAUUUAUCAGUAUUGCGGGCUGCAGACCGUAAUAUUAAUAACUCAUUCGUGGAUUCGUUAAGCAAGCAAACCGGUAGGUUAUUUUAUGUUAGUGUUGUACUUAUUUAGAAUGCUUAAUAAUAAUAGAAUAUAUAUUGUAUCAGUUAAUUCUGUUCCAUUAGAUUGGUUGGUUAUAAUUGUGACAAGACGGAAUGUUACGGGAAACCAGUACUUUCCAUCGAUCUGGAUGACCAGAGAUUACUUUUGUAAGUAUGCAAAGUGGAUUGAGUCAGGCCGUUAUUUAUGCUGUGAGAGCAAAGAGAUUGUUUUCGAAAGGCUGUCAAAAAUACUUAGCUCAUGUGGUGCUAAAUGAUGUUGUUUGGAGUAGUGUGAAUAAUGUCGAAAGGGUUAGACUUUUCUUGAUGUCUUCCCUGAAAGUAUACCUGGAUUGCCUUCAGGCAGAGAUAUGAGGUUCACUAUUGAUUUGUUGCCAGGUAUAAAUUUAUAUUGGAGAUUGGUUCAUGAUGAGUUAAGGGAAUUGGAAAUUCAGUUGAGGGAAUUGGUUGAUAAAAGUUUUAUUCAACCUAGUACAACACUUUUGAGGAGCCCCAGUUUGUUGGUGAGGAAGAAAAUGGAUCUUGAGACUGUUCAUUGAUUAUAGACAAUGGAGUCGGGUAACGAUUGAGAACCGUUAUCCAUGGUGAUGUACUGAUGUUUAUUUAACCAGCUCAGAAGUAAUUGCGAAGAUUCAAAGAUUGAAUUGAGAUCUGGUUACUACCAAUUGAAUAUUAUAAGUGACGUUGAUCAUAAGAUGGUUUUCUGGACUUGUUAUAGUUUUUAUGAAGUUUGGUGAUGCUAUGUGGAUACUCAUGCUGUUUUAUGAGUUGAUGGAUGAAGUAUUCCAAUAAUGCCUUGAUAAAUUGAUAUCAUUUUCAUUGAAGAUAUUCUGGCAUAUUCUAAGCCUAGAGCAUGUAAACGUAUUAAGUCGGUGAAGCAAAGAUUAAGAGAACGUUGGUUGUAUGCUAAGUUUAGCAAAUGCGAAUGUUGGAUGAAUCAAGUGGCAUUCUGAGAUUGGUUAUAUCUGCUUAAGGUAUUCAAAUGAAUUCUUAAAAGGCAGCAGAAUUGAGAAAUUGGAACAACCACAAGCCAUAAUUGAGAUUCGGAAAUUCUUAACUUAUCAGGCUAUUUUGGAUGGUUGUGAAAGAAUUUUUAGUCAUUGUUUUGUCAUUGAUGAGACUGUUGAGAAAGGAGGUUAUGUAUGAGUGGGAAGGAAUUGUAAGCAAAGGAUUCAACAACUGAAGUAUUUCCUCACUCAUGCACGUAUUUUGGUAUUCCCAGAGAAUAGUGGUAAUCAUAAAUUUUUAGUGAUGUUUCUUGAAUGGUAUUGGAUGCAUGUUGAUGCAAAUGUUAGGGUGAUUGCAUACGUUUCACGAUAAAUGGAAUCUCAUAAGAUGAAUUACCCUACGGGUGACUUGGAAGUCAUGAUUACCAUUCUUGCUGUGAAGUUAUGAAGGCAUUAUAUUUGGUAAGAAUGCAAGAUUUUUACGAAUCCAAAAAGUCUUCAAUAUCCAUUACUUGGAAGGAUUUUGAUAUGAGGCAGCGAAAGUGAAUUGUAUUGCUUAAUGAACAUGAUUGUACGAUCAGGGUGAUCGUAAAGUUUGUUCUAGCUGAAGCACUUGAUAAGAAGACUGCAGUAAGAAUUAAUAUCUGGUACGCUUGCCAAGAUUAUCUUCUUGUGGAUUGGAAAUCAACUAAAGUAAAGUUAAGAAUGAAAGAUCGAGAAGAAGUUAUACUUGUUAAGUUUCAAGUUAGGCCUUUUGGUAAGGUCGUACUCGAGACUCAAAUGGUAUGUGGAUACAAGAAAACAAAAAGUAUGUGCCUAAUGCUGAGGAUUUGAAGCAAGCAAAUAUUGGACGAAGUUCACUGUUCAACUUCUGCAAUAUUCCAAAAGUAAUAAGAUUUAUCAUACCAUUCGACAGUUUUAUUUGGUCAGCAGAUUGAGGCAGAAAGAGAUAAACCUUUGGAUUGAGAUAAUUAUUUUCUGUUUCGCAGUGGAAAUGGAAAGAUAUUACUUUGGAUUAUGUGUACAAGCUUCCUUGUACACAAGAUGGUUAUGAUCGAAUUUGAAGUGAUAGUUGGUCAAUGUACCAAGUUAGUACAAUUACUCCAGUGUUGAGUAAUAAAUUUUUUUUCAGACAGGGCAACGGUACUUAAUGUAUUUGUGUUCGAUGCGUUGUCACUAGGUGGCAGAGUCGUCUCAUGGAAUUCUGGUGCAACUAUUGAGAAUUAAAUUGGAUUCGACUUGAUAAGGAACCAAGGACGACUUUGGAUUGGAAAAAGAAGGUCCUGAGAAUUAAGACAGAGUAAGUAGUAAAAGCUUUGUGAAGGAAAUCAUUCAGUAGAAAAUUAUGUGGGAAAAAGAGAAUCGGAUGAGAGAGAUUUAUCCGAGGCUAUUGUAUGAGUAUAGAUGAUUUAGUUGGUUGCUGGAAUUUCGGGGACGAAAUUCUAUAAGGAGGGGAGAUUGUCACAGCCCGUCCCGGAAUUUUUAAUUCCGAGGACAUGAAAUUACGAAAAUGUCCCUAAUACGUGACUAAGGUAUAAUUUUCACGUUCGUUAUAUCUAAGCUCCAAAAAAAAUUUGGUAAUUAGAGUGGAGACUUAGACUUAAAUUUUAUGAUGGAAUUUUAUGAAAUUGGGAUUGGAUUGGACAUGUGGGAUCCCCACACCUCAAAACCCUCCCCAUUUCCCGUAUACUGUCCUUCAUACUCUCUCUCUUCCUCAGACCUCACUCUCUCUCUCUCACCCUCUCGAACACACAGGCAACCACCCAAAACCACCUAAAACUUAUACCAACGUCGGAUUUAAAGCUACCAUGGCAUUCCUGAGGACUCCACGAUCACGUAGACACCAAUUUCAGGUAAGUUUUACUUCGGAAAACCUAGAUUCUAAACUCCCCGUGAAAGUGCACUGUUCAUGAUCUUCGAAUUGACUUUGUUUUUAGGACAAUCCAAGCUCAUAGCAAGCUUGGUGAGGUCCCAAGGAAGCUCGGAGUGCUUCGUUGGAAGUUUUUGGACGUAAGAACACGGAGAUCGACAAGUUCAAAGUUUAGCCGGAGCUUUCGAGGCGUUUUCCGGCGAAUCCCCGGCGAGUUAGGAGUCGAGGUAGGUAUCAAUCUCUUCGUCUCGUCAAGUACUACAACUUUCCUUUUGUUUUCACUCAAUUUCGUUGAGUAUUGAAGAAGUUAUACUCAUUUGAAAAAUACCCAGUUUCCGGCGACCUCCGAGGCUUUCGAGGCAGUUUCCGGCCAAACCACGGCGAACUAGGUGUUGUGCAAGGUAUCAUUCUCUUUGUCUCUUCAAGGGCUACAACUUUUGUUUUUGAAUCACUUGAUUUCGUUGAGAAAUGACAAAGUUAUGGCAAUUUGAAAAACUGCCCAGAAAACGGCCGCCGGAAAAACCAGUCCGGCGACCCAAGGAAGAAGAAGGUGCUACAGUAAAAAUAAAAAAAAUAAAAAUAAAAUUAUUUUAAAAAUAUGUCGACGUCCGUGACGUCGAGUAGAUCACUGUGGUAUAUUCAUAUACCUAAAUUGAACACCGUAUGAGAAAGUUAUUGAAGAUUGUUGGUUAGGUGUUCAAAUAACGUUUUAUAGUUUUCACAUUUAGGUGAAAAUGUGAAUUGAUGAUCCGACCGUUGGAUCGUCACCAAACUUUGAUACGUUGUAAUACGUAAUAUUUGAGGAUUAUUGGAACUUACGGAUUGGGAAUCAGAGUUACUGAUCUUCCGGAAUUGGAAUUGUAAGUCCAUAAUAUAAAAUGUUAACCGUCACUUAGUUUUGGAAAUUGACGGAGAUCCGACCGUUGGAUGGUAAUGAAAUUUUAGGAUGUUGUCCUAGAGGUAUAUUGUGGACCUCUGGAAGUUAUGGAUUUAAAAUCUGAGUGGCAGAUCUUCCGGAUCGAUCAACGUAGUGACGUAUUUUAUAUAAGUUAUGUAUUCUAUCGAUAUGAAUUCUGAGGUUGGAAUUGAUUAUUGUUUUAGGCGCCGAUCGUCAUGACGCCUUGGCGUAUUGUGCUAGGGAGUUGUAGGGCGAACUCCAGGUGAGUGGGCAGUUUUGUUUUCCGUAUAUAUAUAUACUUGACGUUUCCCAGAAAUUGAAUUGAAAUGAAAAUAUGUUUAAAAUGAAAUGCAUAUGAGUUAUGUGGAAAAACGGGAAGUGAAAUACCAUGCAUAGAAUUGAUAUGAAAAGUAUAUAGAAAUGUGAGUUGAAAUGCCAUGCAUGAAUUAAUUUAUGAUGCAUAUGUAUGAAUUGGUGCGGUGGACGCACAUGUAAGAAUUGAUUUAUGAUGCAUAUGUAUGAAUUGGUGCGGUGGACGCACAUGUAAGAAUUGAUUUAUGAUGCAUAUGUAUGAAAUGGUGCGGUGGACGCACAGGUGAGUAUCAGGUGAUUAUUUAAAUACUGUUAUGAUGAUGUUGAUAUAUAUUGAGCUCAAAUCCUGCACCAUGGUUUAGUGCUUAUAGUAUUCACCGCAUCGCACGCUCGCCUUGGAUCCAAGUAGAUGCUAGUCGUACAGUCCACGCGGAGUGGGUACGACAGACCAGUCGCGAGAGUGUUAGUGAGAUUCCGACUGGUGGGUGACCUUAGAUUAUGUGCACAGAUGAUUUAUGAGAAGCACUAGAGCGUAACUUGUGUGCAGAAGGCCGGACGGGUCACAGAGGGUGACUCCGGUAGAGUGAUAAUGAUAGAUUUUGAGCUCUAGGUUCAACCGUACAGGGCUAUUAGAGGGCCUACGGUUGAUUACUUUCUUGCACCUGAUAUGAUUAUGUUGAUGCAUUCAUACCUUAUUACUGUUGAGAUGAUGUGGCAUGGCAUAAUUAAUAUGAGAAAUGUUGAGAUGAUGUGGCAUGGCAUAACUGAUAUGAAAAAUGUUGAAAAAGUGAAAUGAAGUAUUGAGAAUAUAUAUGUAUAUUUAUAUUUUACAUUUCUGGGAAAGUAUACAGGUUUUACGGAGAGGGGUUACAACGUUAUGAGAAAUGUUUGGAUUUGGAAAAGAAUUGUUUACUGACCCACUCAAUUUUGGUUUUGCGCCCCUCCAGGUUCAGGAAUCACAAAGGUGUGGUGACUACGAGGAAUACGGCGGGGUUCUGACAGAUUGGACAAAAUUAGGACUCACCUUCGGGUGUAUCAACUUAUAAAUUGUAUAAUUAAAGCUUCCGUACUGUGCAAAUGGUUACGUCACUCUCACGUGACGGCCAGCAUGCCCUCCUUCGGGACGGGGUGUGUCAAAGUGGCUCUGGAUCAUAGUGGUUAAGAGGAGUGUUGUCUUUGUACCACGACUCGAGUUUGAACUCUGUUGACUUUCUAAUAUAAUAUCUAAUGUAACAAAUUCAUCGUUUGACAAAAAAAAUUAUAAUUUUUCAUUGUGUCCAAAACAUGGAAAGUACAUCACGUGUCACUAAGGUGUAUAUGAACCCUUGGUCUCCAAAUAAAAAGAGAUACUAAACUUGUAUAAUUCUAUAACUAAAUUACACUAAUCAUCUUUGUAUUUUAUCUUAAUUUUGAUGUUCGUUGUUUCAUUUUCAUCCUUAUAAUUUCAUUAUUUAUGCAAAGGCCAUAACUUUUACAACUCUAAUUUUUUAGGGAGUAGACAAGGGGGAAGGAGAUCGAAAUAAAAACGGCAAGUAAAGAUGAAUGUUUUUAUCAAACUGAGCUACAAGUUCCUUGCCUUCAACUAGAUUUUUCAAAAAAUGAAAAUGUGGACAAAAAAUGAAUGAAAAUAUCAACUUAUUUGAAGUGAAAACAAGAGGAAAUUGUAGAAAUUGUCCCUCAACUUUAACCCAAUUGGAGUAAUGGUCCCUUAACUUUAUUUCCAUGACCAUUGGUCCCUCAACUCGUCAAAAUGUGUAGAUAUGGUCCUUUUUCUUAACACCGUUAAUAACUCCGUUAAAUUCAGUCAUCUGUAUGGCGCAUGACACUGACUGUAAAGGCAAUUUAGGAAACAAAUUAUUUUCCAAAUAAAAGCAUCCCAAAUAAUAUACAAAGGCACGAGCUUCUCCAUCCAGUCGAAUAAUUUAUUCACCAUUAUGAGGCUCUGGUGUGCUUUAUUGUUAUUGAAAGUAAUGUAAUUCUCAAUUGAUGUCUGCAAUAUUAUUAUACAUUCGCAGAAAGAAAUGGGAGUUUUGGUACAUUACUAGAUUGUUUUUGUCUUGUUAGGUUGAAGUCAAUACCCAUCCCCAGGUUGAAUUCAACCUGGAGUCUAUAUUGACUUCAACCUGAGGAUGGUGAUGCUUUUAUCUAGGAAAUAAUUUGUUUCCUAAAUUACCCUUACAGUCAGUGUCAUGUGCCACGAACAUGAUUGAAUUUAACGGAGUUAUUGACGGUGUUAAGGAAAAUGAUCAUAACUACACAUUUUGACGAGUUGAGGAACCAUUGCUCCAACUGGAUUAAAGUUGAGGGACUAUUUCUACAAUUUCCUCUGAAAACAAAACUAUAAGUUUUAAGGACAGAAUUAUAAUAGAAAAAACUAUAGGGACAAAAAUGAAAUCCAAAUAAUCACAGGGACUAUUAGUGAAAUUGACCAUUUAUAUAUACACGGA
rnacentral:lncRNA from 1 species